rnacentral:rRNA from 1 species
GAUGAACGCUGGCGGCGUGCCUAAUACAUGCAAGUCGAGCGAACAGACGAGGAGCUUGCUCCUCUGACGUUAGCGGCGGACGGGUGAGUAACACGUGGAUAACCUACCUAUAAGACUGGGAUAACUUCGGGAAACCGGAGCUAAUACCGGAUAAGAUAUUGAACCGCAUGGUUCAAUAGUGAAAGACGGUUUUGCUGUCACUUAUAGAUGGAUCCGCGCCGCAUUAGCUAGUUGGUAAGGUAACGGCUUACCAAGGCAACGAUGCGUAGCCGACCUGCGCGGGUGAUCGGCCACACUGGAACUGAGACACGGUCCAGACUCCUACGAGAGGCAGCAGUAGGGAAUCUUCCGCAAUGGGCGAAAACCUGACGGAGCAACGCCGCGUGAGUGGUGAAGGUCUUCGGAUCGUAAAACUCUGUUAUUAGGGAAGAACAAAUGUGUAAGUAACUAUGCACGUCUUGACGGUACCUAAUCAGAAAGCCACGGCUAACUACGUG